rnacentral:rRNA from 1 species
UGCUAUACAUGCAAGUCGAACGCUUCUUUCCUCCCGAGUGCUUGCACUCAAUUGGAAAGAGGAGUGGCGGACGGGUGAGUAACACGUGGGUAACCUACCCAUCAGAGGGGGAUAACACUUGGAAACAGGUGCUAAUACCGCAUAACAGUUUAUGCCGCAUGGCAUAAGAGUGAAAGGCGCUUUCGGGUGUCGCUGAUGGAUGGACCCGCGGUGCAUUAGCUAGUUGGUGAGGUAACGGCUCACCAAGGCCACGAUGCAUAGCCGACCUGAGAGGGUGAUCGGCCACACUGGGACUGAGACACGGCCCAGACUCCUACGGGAGGCAGCAGUAGGGAAUCUUCGGCAAUGGACGAAAGUCUGACCGAGCAACGCCGCGUGAGUGAAGAAGGUUUUCGGAUCGUAAAACUCUGUUGUUAGAGAAGAACAAGGACGUUAGUAACUGAACGUCCCCUGACGGUAUCUAACCAGAAAGCCACGGCUAACUACGUGCCAGCAGCCGCGGUAAAGAACUCU